rnacentral:rRNA from 1 species
AGAGUUUGAUCAUGGCUCAGGAUGAACGCUGGCGGUCUGCUUAACACAUGCAAGUCGAACGCAAGUAGCAAUACUUGAGUGGCGGACGGGUGAGUAACGCGUGAGAAUCUGCCUUUUGGUCGGGGACAACCACUGGAAACGGUGGCUAAUACCGGAUAUGCCUAACGGUGAAAGAUUAAUUGCCAGAAGAGGAGCUCGCGUCUGAUUAGCUAGUUGGUGAGGUAAGAGCUCACCAAGGCAUCGAUCAGUAGCUGGUCUGAGAGGAUGAUCAGCCACACUGGGACUGAGACACGGCCCAGACUCCUACGGGAGGCAGCAGUGGGGAAUUUUCCGCAAUGGGCGAAAGCCUGACGGAGCAAGACCGCGUGAGGGAGGAAGGCUCUUGGGUUGUAAACCUCUUUUGUCAGGGAAGAACACAAUGACGGUACCUGAAGAAUCAGCAUCGGCUAACUCCGUGCCAGCAGCCGCGGUAAUACGGGGGAUGCAAGCGUUAUCCGGAAUUAUUGGGCGUAAAGCGUCCGCAGGUGGCUAAUCAAGUCUGCUGUCAAAGGUUGGGGCUUAACCCCAAAAAGGCAGUGGAAACUGAGAAGCUAGAGUGUAGUAGGGGUAGAGGGAAUUCCCGGUGUAGCGGUGAAAUGCGUAGAGAUCGGGAAGAACAUCGGUGGCGAAAGCGCUCUACUGGACUGCAACUGACACUCAGGGACGAAAGCUAGGGGAGCGAAUGGGAUUAGAUACCCCCGUAGUCC